CCACGACCCCACGGGAGCCCAUGGCACGGGCUGAGAGGGAGCUGACGCCGCUCCGACCGUCCGAACCUGUCCGGAUCAUGCCGGCGAAGGAAGAGAGGACCUUAGGCAU
rfam:Corynebacterium kroppenstedtii DSM 44385, complete genome.